UCUUAGUCACUUCAACAAAGGGAAAUUAUUCAAAUUAUUUCUCUUUAGAGGUGAAACCAAAUCAUUCAAGAAUAAGUUGGGUAUUUCCCUGUAGAGUAAUGGUGGAAAUCAAUCAGCUUCCCAACCAUUACAUGUGUUUCAUAACAUUUCAUUAUAUUAAUUAUUAGGUAAUGUAAUCAUCUUUCACUAUCAAAAAUCUAAUUAUUGGAUAUA
rnacentral:lncRNA from 1 species